UACGGAGGGGGCUAGCGUUGUUCGGAAUUACUGGGCGUAAAGCGCACGUAGGCGGACUGGAAAGUUGGGGGUGAAAUCCCGGGGCUCAACCUCGGAACUGCCUUCAAAACUAUCAGUCUGGAGUUCGAGAGAGGUGAGUGGAAUUCCGAGUGUAGAGGUGAAAUUCGUAGAUAUUCGGAGGAACACCAGUGGCGAAGGCGGCUCACUGGCUCGAUACUGACGCUGAGGUG
rnacentral:rRNA from 1 species